rnacentral:rRNA from 1 species
ACUCCUACGGGAGGCAGCAGUGGGGAAUAUUGGACAAUGGGCGAAAGCCUGAUCCAGCCAUGCCGCGUGUGUGAAGAAGGUCUUCGGAUUGUAAAGCACUUUAAGUUGGGAGGAAGGGCAGUUACCUAAUACGUAAUUGUUUUGACGUUACCGACAGAAUAAGCACCGGCUAACUCUGUGCCAGCAGCCGCGGUAAUACAGAGGGGUGCAAGCGUUAAUCGGAAUUACUGGGGCGUAAAGCGCGCGUAGGUGGUUUGUUAAGUUGGAUGUGAAAUCCCCGGGGCUCAACCUGGGGAACUGCAUUCAAAACUGACUGACUAGAGUAUGGUAGAGGGUGGUGGAAUUUCCUGUGUAGCGGUGAAAUGCGUAGAUAUAGGAAGGAACACCAGUGGCGAAGGCGACCACCUGGGACUAAUACUGACACUGAGGUGCGAAAGCGUGGGGAGCAAACA